rnacentral:rRNA from 1 species
UACAGAGGUCUCAAGCGUUGUUCGGAUUCAUUGGGCGUAAAGGGUGCGUAGGUGGUGAUGCAAGUCUGGUGUGAAAUCUCGGAGCUUAACUCCGAAAUUGCAUUCGAUACUGCCGUGCUUGAGGACUGGAGAGGAGACUGGAAUUUACGGUGUAGCGGUGAAAUGCGUAGAUAUCGUAAGGAAGACCAGUGGCGAAGGCGGGUCUCUGGACAGUUCCUGACGCUGAGGAGCGAAAGCGUGGUGAGCAAACAGG